rnacentral:ncRNA from 1 species
AUGCAGGUGUCCUAAGAUGAGCUCAACGAGAACAUAAAUCUCGUGUGGAACAAAAGGGUAAAAGCUCAUUUGAUUUUGAUUUUUAGUAUGAAUACAAACCAUGAAAGCGUGGCCUGUCUAUCCUUUAGACUUUCAGAAUUUGAAGCUAGAGGUGUCAAAAAAGUUACCACAGGGAUAACUGGCUUGUGGCAGCCAAGCGUUCAUAGUGACAUUGCUUUUUGAUCCUUCUAUGUCGGCUCUUCCUAUCAUUAUGAAGCAAAAUUCACCAAGUGUUGGAUUGUUCACCCACCAAUAGGGAACGUGAGCUGGGUUUAGACUGUCAUGAGACAGGUUAGUUUUACCCUACUGAUGAACCACGCCGCAAUAGUAAUUCAACUUAGUAUGAGAGGAACCAUUGAUUCACACAAUUGGUCAUCGCGCUUGGUUGAAAAUACAGUAGUGCAAAGCUACCGUGUGUCGGAUUAUGACUAAACACCUCUAAGUCAGAAUCCACGCUAGAAGCGGCACUUGUCACUCCUCGACUGUAUCUUGACCUACAGUAGGGGUGUCGCUUCGGCACCCCCAGGGGCUCGUGUCACUUGUGAAUCUUGACCGAGAAGCAUCUUGAUCGGGGUAGCUUUGAAGUUCAAUUUCAAACGGUCAUUGAGAAGAAUCCUUUGCAGAGGACUUAAAUAUGUGACAAGGUAUUGUAAGUGGCAAAGUAGCCUUGUUGCCAUGAUCCACUGAGAUUCAACCCUUUGUUGCCUCGAUUCAG